rnacentral:misc_RNA from 1 species
AUAUAAAACCAAUAAACCUUUUCGUCUCCUAUCAACAAUGAACACCAAACCCCAUUGACGACGAUUCAACCAAAACAAUCAGAAAAAGAUUAUAUAGAUCUCGUUUUUGUGUUUGUGUUUGUCAAAUCGCAAUUCAGUUCAAUUCAAUUUUGAAAUUUGUAGCAAUGUCAGGUGUAUCACUGCAGUGUGGUGAUUGUGGAACUCUAUUCAAAUCUGUAGCAGAAGCACAAGAACAUGCUGAAGUUACCUCCCAUGCUAACUUCUCUGAAUCUACUGAAGCUGUUCUAAAUCUCGUCUGUACUGCUUGCGGCAAGCCUUGCCGCUCCAAAACGGAGAGUGAUUUGCACACCAAGAGAACUGGGCACAUAGAAUUUACGGACAAGACAGCAGAGGGAGUGAAGCCAAUCAGCUUGGAGGUGCCAAAAGCAAAGGCCGAUGAUGAAGACAUGGCAGAGGUUGGCGAUGACAGUGGUACAGGCCAGCAUGAAGAAAUGGUUGUUCCCGAAGUUGACCAAAAUCUGCUAUCGGAACUUGAGACAAUGGGAUUUUCCAAAGCUAGGGCUAUCCGGGCACUCCACUUUUCUGGCAAUGCCAGCUUGGAGGCUGCUGUAAAUUGGGUUGUAGAGCAUGAAAGUGACCCAGACAUAGAUGAAACACCAAUGGUACCUGCCAGUGCCAAGAAAGGUGAGGCACCAAGGCCUUCUCUUACUCCAGAGGAAAUAAAGAUAAAACAACUAGAGUUGAGGGAGCGUGCUCGUAAAAAGAAAGAAGAGGAAGAGAGACAAAGGGAAAGAGAGAGAGAAAAGGAAAGAAUUAGAAUUGGUAAGGAACUCCUGGAAGCAAAACGUAUUGAGGAAGAUAACGAAAGAAAACGUAUAAUAGCAUUGCGCAAGGCUGAAAAAGCGGAAGAACAAAGAGCUAGGGAGAAAAUUCGUCAGAAGCUGGAAGAAGAUAAGGCAGAAAGAAGAAGGAAGCUCGGUUUGCCAGCAGAGGAUCCUGCUUCUCCCAAACCUUCUACACCUGUUGUGGAGGAAAAAAAGAGCUCUUUUUUGCCUGUCAGACCAGCUACAAAGGCAGAGCGGAUGAGAGAGUGCCUGCGAACUCUUAAACAGACACACAAGGACGACGAGGCUAAAGUCAAGACCGCUUUCAACACACUUUUAACUUACGCAAAGAAUGUCGCUACAAAUCCCAAUGAGGAGAAAUUCCGCAAGAUUAGACUUAGUAAUGCUGCUUUUCAGGAUAGAAUUGGCAAGCUGCAAGGAGGCAUCGAGUUUCUUGAGCACUGUGGAUUUGAGAAAGUUGAAGGAGGUGAAUUCUUGUACCUGCCAAGAGAAAAGGUGGACAUCGCGGUGCUUAACUCAGCUGGAACUGAGUUGAACAAUGCUAUUAAAAAUCCCUUCUUUGGAGUCCUCUAAAUUCUAAUCUCAAUACAUUAGUAAAGAUGAAUAGUAAAGGAUACUUUGUAUGUUCCAACUUUUUCCCCUUUGUUGAGUCAAGGUUUACUUGAGUUUUAUAAACUGACAUUGUUUAAGUUACUUAGAUUUGGUGGAAUCAUGUUCCUUUUUGAACCAUUUUUUAUCUACAAGUUUAAUGGAUCAAGU